rnacentral:misc_RNA from 1 species
UCCGUGUGAAACACGGCAGUCUCGCGUGACACUUGUAACACGCGACAAGGGUUGCGCUCGUUACCCCACUUAAGGGAACAGUUCAAACCACGAGCUGACGGCAACCAUGCAGCACCUGUGUUUAGGGUCCUUGAGAGACGCAUCCCGUUUCUGAGACGCUUCCCUAAACAUUUCAAGCCCUGGUAAGGUUCCUCGUGUACCAUCGAAUUAAACCUCAUGUUCCUCUGCUUGUGCGAGUCCCCGUCUAUUCCUUUGAGUUUUAAGCUUGCGCUCGUACUUCCCAGGCGGUCAACUUAACGCGUUAGCUGCGCCACUUCGAGGGUCGAUACUCGAAACAGCUAGUUGACAUCGUUUAGGGCGUGGACUA